rnacentral:tRNA from 1 species
GAUGUAGCUCAAUGGUAGAGCACUUGCCUAGAAAUGCAUGCAGACCUGGGUUUGAUACCCAGCAUC